AUGAAUGGACAGGAAUUCUGCUCUGUGGCGUUGGUCUCACUAUUUAUUCAAGAAGCCCUUGGACACCACCAGAAUGUAUGAAAAUUGUAAACAGUAGGCACAGUCAUUCCUUCAUCGACCUGGCAUCAACAUCGCUCGAUGUGUAUGAAGCUGCAAGUGAGAGAAGAAGCCGCCACUGAACACCUUUUUGGACUGUCAUGACUCAAAUGAAAGGACAGGACUUCUACUCUGCUGGGUCGGCCUCACUACAUAUUCAAGAAGCUCUCGGACGUCAUCAGAAUGUACUAAUGUGAAGAGGCAACAAGGGAGAGAUGAACGCUAUCAAAAAUGUGGAGAUGGAUCUGGCAGCCGACCGCUUUGGCACACACCCAACAAGAAACAAAACAAUAAAGAAUACUAAAAUGCAUAA